UUCUGAUGUGGACUAAAAUUGAUUUGUGUAGUUAUCGCCCUGUGGUCUGUGGAAAAGUAAACAUCGAGACCAAAAUAAUCUCUCUACCUAUGGACGCAGGAGUAGUGAAAGGAGAUGCACCACCCCUGGCCUUUGGCACUGUGUGUCAGGUUGGGGCCAUAGCCUUACUCUUGGGAGUGGGCAAACCCUAUCAUCAGGCCCCGUGCGGAGGGAGUCAUCUCCUCCACCGCCCAGGACUCUUUACACACGGAAGAAUACCACCUUUUGGCAGAGGCAAGAGCACUUCAUGUUAGUGACGCUUCAUGUGAUGGAGGAUAAAGGGACAACACUCUUCUCUCCUGGCGUCCGGUAAUUUUCAUCAUUUUAGAAUAAAAGGAAGGUGCCGUCAAGACAAACGAGGAGUUAUUCUUAGUUUUGGCAAGUCCUAAAACAGUGAUACGGGGGCUGAAGAGUUCACGUGGAGUAGAAAGUUAUUGCCAAGCUGCCAUGCCAUGAAGACACUCAAGCAGCCCUAUGAAAAGGUCCACUUGGGGAGGAACUGAGACCUCUUGCCAACAACCAUGUGAGUAACCCGUCUUGGAAGACGAUCCACCAACCCCAGUCAAGGCUUCAGAUGACUGUCACUCCAGCCAACAUCUUGACUACGACCUCAUGAGAGACUCUGUGCCAGAACCACCCAGCUAAGCUGCUCCUGAAUUCCUGACCCCCAGAAACUGAGAUAAUAAAUGUUUAUUAUUUUGAGCCACAAUAUUUUUGGGUAAUUUGUUGGAAGGCAAUAGAUAACUAAUACAGGCUCUCAUAAUGUCAUUUAUUUGGGUCCAGUCAGCAUGCUUUAGGAUCUGGGAGUUUUUUUCCUUCAUCCAUAAUCUAACAGCAAUAUAAGGAAUACAAGAAAAAGAAACUAAAGAGACUUCCCUGGAUUCUCCUGGUAUUGGUGGAUGUAACAUUUGACUCUUUACUUCUUCCCUGCUGAGUCUGAAGGGCUUUUGCUUGAAGUAAUUUGCCAUUUUGGAAGAGAAGCACUAUUUGGCUAGUGUGUGUUUUAGUGUCAGAAAGUCCCUUAGGAAAUGAAUAAACCCAGAGUCUCCAACUCACUUAAUAAAGCAUUGCAUUUAAUCCUGCAACAAUCCUGUGAUGUAGGCACACUUGCCUGAUUUUAAGGCUGAGGGAAUUGAAGUAUUAUGUGUCAGGGAUACACACAAAUGUGGGGGAAUAUGAAAGGUCUUGGAGGCUGUCUUCAUAAAUAUCCAGUUACUUCUGCGUCAUGGAAGAGAGGAAAAAAGAAAGGCAUUAAGAAG
rnacentral:lncRNA from 10 species